CAUUGGUUUUCAGAUCAAGAGGUAAUGAUUAAUAGAAGCAGUUUGGGGGCAUUAGUAUUACGACGCGAGAGGUGAAAUUCUUGGACCGUCGUAAGACUAACUUAAGCGAAAGCAUUUGCCAAAGAUGUUUUCAUUUAAUCAAGAACGAAAGUUAGAGGUUCGAAGGCGAUCAGAUACCGCCCUAGUUCUAACCAUAAACGAUGCCAGCUAGCAAUUGGGUGUA
rnacentral:rRNA from 1 species